GACGAACGCUGGCGGCGUGCUUAACACAUGCAAGUCGAACGGAAAGGCCCUGCUUGCAGGGUGCUCGAGUGGCGAACGGGUGAGUAACACGUGGGUGAUCUGCCCCUUACUUUGGGAUAAGCCUGGGAAACUGGGUCUAAUACUGGAUAGGACCAUGCUGUAGGUGGUGUGGUGGAAAGAUUAGUUUCGGUAAGGGAUGAGCUCGCGGCCUAUCAGCUUGUUGGUGGGGUAAUGGCCUACCAAGGCGUCGACGGGUAGCCGGCCUGAGGGGGUGGACGGCCACAUUGGGACUGAGAUACGGCCCAGACUCCUACGGGAGGCAGCAGUGGGGAAUAUUGCACAAUGGGCGCAAGCCUGAUGCAGCGACGCCGCGUGGGGGAUGACGGCCUUCGGGUUGUAAACUCCUUUCAGCCAUGACGAAGCCUUCGGGUGACGGUAGUGGUAGAAGAAGCACCGGCUAACUACGUG
rnacentral:rRNA from 1 species